GACGAACGCUGGCGGCGUGCCUAAUACAUGCAAGUCGAACGCAGGGGGGACGGGUGAGUAACACGUUGGUAACCUCCCAUCAGAGGGGAUAACACUUGGAAACAGGUGCUAAACCGCUAAUGAUGGAUGGAGCCGCGGUGCAUUAGCUAGGUGGGGGGGUAACGGCCCACCAAGGCCACGAUGCAUAGCCGACCUGAGGGAGUGAUCGGCAACACUGUGACGGAGACACGGCCAAGACUCCUACGGGAGGCAGCAGUGGGGAAUAUUGGACAAUGGGCGCAAUCCUGAUGCAGCAAUGCCGCGUUUAUGAAGAAGGCCUUAGGGUUGUAAAGUACUUUCAGCGGGGAGGCGUUACCCGCAGAAGAAGCACCGGCUAACUCCGUGCCAGCAGCCGCGGUAAUAC
rnacentral:rRNA from 1 species